UUUAAGCGCAGCUGUGGGUUUUUGUAUUCAACAUUUGACCGUCCGUUUUAUUUGAAAUUAUUUUAUGAUUAGUAAUUUUAUUGUUAUUAGAUGAUAAAGCAUGAAUAGUACUUUAUGUAGGACUUUUUUUUAAAAAAAAAGUUCAUAAAAUUUUCAAAUAAAAUAGAUGAUCAAACGUUGGACACUUGGAUACAUAAACUCAUGACUGCACUUAAA
rfam:Oryza rufipogon genomic scaffold, chr04